UCCGGGUUGAUCCCUGCCGGGACCCGACUGCUAUCAGAGUGGGACUAGAGCCAUGCGAGUCGACGUAGCAAUGCGUGGCGAACGGCUCAGUAACACGUAGUCAACAUGCCCAGGGGACGUGGAUAACCUCGGGAAACUGAGAAUAAACCACGAUAGGUCACGAUUUCUGGAAUGGAUCAUGGCCUAAAUCUACAUGGCCCCUGGAUUGGACUGCGGCCGAUCAGGCUGUUGGUGAGGUAAUGGCCCACCAAACCUAUAACCGGUACGGGCUCUGAGAGGAGAAGCCCGGAGAUGGGCACUGAGACAAGGGCCCAGGCCCUAUGGGGCGCAGCAGGCGCGAAACCCCUGCAAUAGGCGAAAGCCUGACAGGGUUACUCUGAGUGAUUUCCGCUAAGGGGAUCUUUUGGCACCUCUAAAAAUGGUGCAGAAUAAGGGGUGGGCAAGUCUGGUGUCAGCCGCCGCGGUAAUACCAGCACCCCGAGUGGUCGGGACGAUUAUUGGGCCUAAAGCAUCCGUAGCCGGUUCUGCAAGUCUUCCGUUAAAUCCAGCCGCUCAACGGAUGGGCCGCGGAGGAUACUACAGGACUAGGAGGCGGGAGAGGCAAGCGGUACUCAGUGGGUAGGGGUAAAAUCCUUUGAUCCAUUGAAGACCACCAGUGGCGAAGGCGGCUUGCCAGAACGCGCUCGACGGUGAGGGAUGAAAGCUGGGGGAGCAAACCGGAUUAGAUACCCGGGUAGUCCCAGCUGUAAACGAUGCAGACUCGGUGAUGGGCUAGCCUUGUGCCAGCCCAGUGCCGCAGGGAAGCCGUUAAGUCUGCCGCCUGGGGAGUACGGUCGCCAGACUGAAACUUAAAGGAAUUGGCGGGGGAGCC
rnacentral:rRNA from 1 species